rnacentral:rRNA from 1 species
GUGGGGAAUAUUGGACAAUGGGCGAAAGCCUGAUCCAGCCAUGCCGCGUGUGUGAAGAAGGUCUUCGGAUUGUAAAGCACUUUAAGUUGGGAGGAAGGGCAGUAAGUUAAUACCUUGCUGUUUUGACGUUACCGACAGAAUAAGCACCGGCUAACUUCGUGCCAGCAGCCGCGGUAAUACGAAGGGUGCAAGCGUUAAUCGGAAUUACUGGGCGUAAAGCGCGCGUAGGUGGUUUGGUAAGUUGGAGGUGAAAUCCCCGGGCUCAACCUGGGAACUGCCUCCAAAACUGCAUGACUAGAGUACGGUAGAGGGUAGUGGAAUUUCCUGUGUAGCGGUGAAAUGCGUAGAUAUAGGAAGGAACACCAGUGGCGAAGGCGACUACCUGGACUGAUACUGACACUGAGGUGCGAAAGCGUGGGGAGCAAACAGGAUUAGAAACCCCUGUAGUCC